GCAAGUUCGUCUCAAGGUGGAACCCACAGACAAGGGAGGGUGAGAGAAAUUGUGUGCCACAGAUGUCUAUUCAACCUGUUGAUGGUGCUGAGGCUGUGUACCAUGCAUAACCCAACUGAUGCUCCCACACACAAAGAAUAGGAGCAGUUAAGGAUACCAAAAUGUCCUGAAGCUGGCCUAGUCCCUCUUUAGAAAUUACAAACCUGCAGAGGCUUCAGUACAAGAGUGUACACAAGCAGUUGCACUGUGUUCAGUCAUCCCUCAGAUUGCAUUGCUAUCAGAAAGGCAAUGUUGAGCAGCCUUGAGACAGAGACCUUUGUCCCAUUGGUUCUCUCACAGGCAAGUGAAGAGUGCUCGAGUAGGGAAGUGGGCUGAUAUAAUUUUUGGCUCUGAGGAUCUGCUAACAGGGUCUGCCCCCUUUGCCACGUUUCCAGUGUCAUCAACCAACUGUUUUCUUCCUUGACCAGCUACACCACUGGGUAUUACAGUCCACCACUCCACUG